AAACUGCGAUAAGUGAUGUGAAUUGCAGGAUUCGUGAAUCAUCAAAUCUUUGAACGCAAUUUGCACCUUCCGGAUCCCCGGAAGGUACGCUUGUUUGAGCGUCACCCCAUUACCUCAAAACCCCACCACAAAUAUGGGAGGGGUCUUGGAUGCGGGUCUGUCGUCAAGGCCCUCUGGCUUGACGUCACCUGAGCUCUAUGGAGGCGGUGAAAUGGGCUUGAAAGCAUCCAAAAACUACAGUUGUGGGCGGGUCGAAAGACUCACAAACACCCCUCGACUGUAGUGCCUUCCAAGUCCAGCUUUCGGCCGAUCUCCCUUGGGAAAGCCGGGCAGAAAACCCCCCUGGCGCUCUCUUUUCUCGAGUGACCUCAAAUCAAGCGAAGCUACCCGCCGAAUUUAA
rnacentral:misc_RNA from 1 species